rnacentral:misc_RNA from 1 species
UUGUUUUAUUUAUGUUGUUUUCAGACGACACGUUUAUAAUGGGUUUGAGAAAACUUCUGACGGGCAAGCCCGCCAAAGAAACAGGUAAUAAGUCAAAGGGUUUAAGGUUGAACCCCGAAGGGCUCCCUUUUCAAUAAUGAUCCUUCCGCAGGUUCACCUACGGAAA